UCUUGAGGUGUUUCGUACCGAUUUCUAUUCAAUACGCCAUCUUGUCUACGCGUGCCCCGCCUACUCUAGAGCUCUAGCCUGACUGAUCAUCUAUGGAAGAGGAUCAGUCGUACUUCUUUGUCUUGCAGUAUUUGUAUUCUACAAAGUUAAACGAAGCUCCUGAAGUGGCUACUCAGGAAAUGUGGCCACUAAGAACUCUGAAGACAAUGAGUUGUAGCAUCCUUCGGCCAUGUGCCAAGUAGCCUACUUUACCUUAGUCGUCUCCUGCUAAUUGAGAAAGGAGUGACGGAGAACGGGCUGCUAUGACGGUGCCCCCGAAUCAACUACCCUUCCGCUUAACAAUACAGCAGCCCCUCCCAGACACCGGGAAUGGUUCAUAUCCUUUCAAAGGAAGCUCUAUUACGUGAUGAUAUGGAACCUCACAAUGAAGAAUGUAUUGGUUCACUCCCAUUUGGAAGCUUGUGCAUAAAGAGUGGCCUACCUUCAUUACUUAAUCUAAGCCUGCUUUAUCUCAUUGCUUACAUUCUGAUGUUAAAAUUCCCCCAUAUGUAUGGCAGCUGCUCUUCAGGGCAACCAUGCAUCACAAAGCCAGUUUUACCCCCUCUGAAAUAAAGACAUUUUAAGGAAAUCUUAUCCUUUGAGAUAUAAAAAAAAAACCACUCACAAUAUAUCAUGCAGUUUGAUAUGUCAUACCACCAAAGGUCAACAAUGGUUUCAUAGACCAGGUUGCAGAUGUGUUGAACGUAACCUCGAGUUCAUGAACAAAAUCUGGUUCAAAGAGAAUCAAUGGGCUUUCACUAAGUUUAGCUCUAGUCAUUGGCCUUGGACAAGUCUUAAUUGUAUAAAUAUCAGGUAAAUCUAAAAAGGUUGGUUUUAUAAGGAGACCAUGGAAUUGAUGCAGUAUACUUAUUUUGUAAAGUGUGCUAGUUCUUUGAGGGAUCAAGGACUCUGGCUCAUGAUCCAGCUUCUGAAUAUUUAUUUGCACUUAAAGCCUAUUUGUAUUGUCUUGGAGUUCUACUGUAGAUAAGCCAAUGAAAGAUUUAUUUAAAAAAAGAUGUAAAUACAUUUUGUUUUAAUGAGAAGUUAAAAAGGAAAAAUACAUGCCUGUAAUGUUCCAAUGUCUAUUUUCAGAGAUGAAUCAUGUUUCCGUGACACAUUUUCACUCUAAACUGUUCUGGAUUUGGGUGUAACUGGCUCACAUUGAAUGUGUAAGAUUAAUUCUGCCGACUGAUUUAAGCAGAUUGCGCAAAUGUAUUGGAGAUCUGUUUUUCAACCACUUGUAAUAUAACAUCCACCAUACCUAACAGUUGAAUUACUGCCUUGAGUAAAUUUACAAAGUGACGUUCACAACAGUGCAAGACUAUCUGGGUCGUGGUGUUCUAUAGGCAGGACACCUGCAUCUCUCAGUAAUAUCAGGCUCAACUUAAUGUGUUUUGAAUGUUCAAAGUGCUCUGGAUUCUUCACUAUGCCUUAGCAAUGGAAAAGACCAAACAUUCUGCAGUUGUACCCUUUAUUUAAUUUGUAUUAUCUUGACAGACAUUUUCCACUGCCCUUUUUAUUCAUUUGCUUGGUUGUCUCUUACAGGCUGUCCUGUUUUUUCUUUGUUAAUGAAAAUAACAGAUGUAAUAUGUUGUGUGAGAUCUAAUAGCACUUGUGUGCAUAAACCUAGUGGUUGCUUCAUAUGAAACCAGGUUCUUAUUUAUUAUGCUAAGAAGUUUAGAAAGUUGCAAAUAAAAGUGUAAUGAAGAAUAUUUUUAGAGUUGGAUGUCUAUUGUAUAGCCUACAGUAAAUUUGAAUUAGCUUUAUUCUGGUCAAUGUACCCUACUAAGCAGAGCGGUGUUCAACAUAACCAAACAAGACAGCCACAUUUUUAAUGCUUUUUACUUGCUAUGUUUUCAAAAUGGAAUGCAAAUCAUGUUCCAGAAUGUCAUCUUUCAUUUGAUCUCUGAAACCAUUAUUUCCAACAGAGGAGCACAUUGAAUUAACAAAAUGAAGUAUUCAUGUGUUUUGAAGUAUACUGUAGUGGCUCUAUUCAAUCUGUAUCGCUGAAGCGUUACAUAUUGCGCAAUAUAAAUGUAAAGGUAAUUUCCGAUUGGUCAACAUGCAGCGUUUACUGUUAAUGCAGUCUCUGCUAAAGCUGGAACAAUGUCUGUACUUGUGUCUUUGGUUUCAGUGUGUCUGUAACCUGUUAAAUUCAGUGUGGAACCACUUUAAACUGGUAUGUUGUGGUCAGCCAGUUAUGAAACAUUUUUUGCACUUGUUUGAUUAACUUAAUGUACCAAUCAAUUAAACAGCAAUCAUUUUAACAUGAA